UUAACUCAAAUUUGUAUGGAGUUGGAACGUUUGCCUACGUUUGCCGCUAGGGGCGCUGUUCCAACUGCAUACAAAUCUAAGUUA
rnacentral:pre_miRNA from 1 species